GACUCAAAACAAAACAAAACAAAACAAAACAAAACCUACUUAUAAAAACUAGAAGCUAUUGGAUCACUUUAUUCUUUUUGUUAGGUGUUCUAUAAUUUUUCUACCAUGAUCAUGGAUUACCUUUGAAUUAAAUGUGCGUAAUUAAAGGGGAUGGAAUAGAGCUGAUGUGAGGGGAAAAUGCUGAGCUCGGCAACUCUCGGGGCCUCCUCUGCACCUCUUGCGGAUGCUUUACACGCUGUUACCUCGGUUUCUGUCUCAACAAGCCUGGAAUGGAAGCAGUGGGGCUCCCCCUUCUCGACUGCAAAAACUGAGUUCCCAGAGCCGCCAAAGGCCUUGCCAUCACGAGGCCAAGGCCCCGGUGACACGCCAGGAGCGGGUAUUCAAAUGCACAGCACUUUUAUCAAGGUCAGACUUCCAACUCUGGGAAAAGCAGAACCUUCUUCCUUUCCUGCAACCUGACCACAGAGCCUCUGAGAAAAGCCUUCCCCAUCCGAGCAACACUCUGGGAACCUGCUUCCUCCACUUCAGGUGUCCGCCUGUUUGUUGCUCAAGAGUUCCAACCUGGCCACAGUAAGGAAGUGAUACAGUGGAGCAGAGGAUCGGGGGACCGCCUCGAAGCUGGCAGGGACACAAACCACCGCCUGAAUCUGACCUGCACCGACUCCUGGAGCCGUGGACUGUUUGCUCUCUGUCUGAGGCUUUAUCUGCCAGGGAGAUGGGCAAGCGGCCAGGGCCCUCUCGGGUGAGGGGUUGAACAGCCAGGCGGCGGCACGCUGCCAUACCAGAUGUCAUGGCUGGUCACUCAGAGGAGCUCUGGGCCAGGAGUCAGGAGGCCGAGGGCCGGGAGAUGGCUCCAGCUGGGCUCCAUGCAUCUGAGCGACACUCUCCCCCACAACCCUUCACUUCAGGCCCUCCAAGUGUGGAGUAAAGGGCUGGGCAGCAAAAGGAUUUAUCAUCCGUGCUGCACGAGUCUCGCAGACAUUUGUGUUUAAAAUAUAUACACAUAGGUCGAACGAUUUUCUUAAAGUAUUUUUUUAAAGAUAAAACCUAUUCAACCAUAUGCAUAUUAACAUGCUGAAGUUAAUCUGCUUUUAGGUUGUUUUGGGGUAGACUUCCCUGUCACUUCUGGAAUUGCAACAUGUUAAAAAAUGUAAUCAUUUCCAUUUACUUCUCUCUCUGACCAAAAUACGGGAAAAAAUGGGUUCUAAGGUCAAUCUAAGACUGCAUUCAUCAAAACAUUACUUUUCUUGUCUUUCUAAGCCAGUAUUAUCCAGCAGAAUUUACACUUUUUAUAGCAAUAUCAUCUAAACUGUUUUAUGCAAUUUAUAUUUCUUAUAGAAGAUUUCUUUCCAAAAAUACACUGGGCUAGUUUUCACCUUUGAAAAAUCACCAUCCCCAGUAACCUCUAAUUCCUCCUCUGGCUCGGACUUUCCACCCAUCUCCAAUUCUAAUCCCUGGACAUAUUCAUAGGGUCUUAAACUUAGUCCACAGAGAACCUUGAAACCUCUUGCCUUUACUUUGACACAUGAGGCUUUUUUCUUCAUAUAACUAGCUUUGUACCCAAAUCCCAUUCUUCAGCACUCAGCUCAAGUACAACCUCUUCUAUACAAAACACUUAACAUGGUCUUGGACCUAAGCCUCUGUUUCUUCAUCUGCAAAACGUGAUAGCAGAACCUCCCUCAAGUGGUGAGGUUUAAGUGAACUGGUGGAAGGUGUAUCUAAAAUACCAAAACAUCGACACAUGAGUGCAAGGAGCGCUCACUAUUCUAGUGUCUUUAUUACUGUCUCUCGUGUUAUCGUCACAGUGGAAAAGACGUUGGAGUCAAUGAAGUCUCAGUUCUACCAUGCAAUAAAUGUGUGACCUCAGGCAAAGAA